GACGAACGCUGGCGGCGUGCUUAACACAUGCAAGUCGAACGGAAAGGCCCUGCUUUUGUGGGGUGCUCGAGUGGCGAACGGGGGAGUAACACGUGAGUAACCUGCCCUUGACUGUGGGAUAACUUCAGGAAACUGGGGCUAAUACCGGAGAGGAGCUCCUGCUGCAUGGUGGGGGUUGGAAAGUUUCGGCGGUUGGGGAUGGACUCGCGGCUUAUCAGCUUGUUGGUGGGGUAGUGGCUUACCAAGGCUUUGACGGGUAGCCGGCCUGAGAGGGUGACCGGCCACAUUGGGACUGAGAUACGGCCCAGACUCCUACGGGAGGCAGCAGUGGGGAAUAUUGCACAAUGGGCGGAAGCCUGAUGCAGCAACGCCGCGUGCGGGAUGACGGCCUUCGGGUUGUAAACCGCUUUCGCCUGUGACGAAGCGUGAGUGACGGUAAUGGGUAAAGAAGCACCGGCUAACUACGUG
rnacentral:rRNA from 1 species